UUCUUCCAAAUAAGCGUUCAAAACCAUGCCAAGCAGGGAAUGUUGCAAGAGUGGACAUCAAGGCUGCAGAUCACGUGCAGAUGAUGGUUAGUCAGAUGCCCUCAAGUACUUCUGCAGUUAUGCCAAGAAAUCACUCUGAUGGUGUGGGGGCUCUGUUUUCUGGUAAUACUUUCAUGAGCACUGUGCUCCGCCCUACUGAUGGACACUGCUCUACUCAGGUUCUAACACAUGAACAAACUCAGCCAAGUGUGGUGCACCUGCAGCAAGGACACACACAACAUAAUGCACCGCAAUCUGGGCAGAACUUAGUUGGAAACCCCUACCUCAAACAUCAACAACAACAAGAACAAAGACACCUUUACCAGCUUCACCAUCACCUGACACAACCAGAAUCUCAGAUCCACAGUAUUCAUCAGAGAAACCUGCUGCAAGACCAGCAUGUGCAAAAAAAGAGAGGAGUAGUACGUGGUGGGCAGUCCGGACCAAAUGUUGGUUUGCAGAAGCAACAUCAUUUGGAAAAGAGUGGCGUGCAGCAUCAGCAACAGCAGCCUCCUCAGCAACACCAACAACAGCAACAGCAGCAUCCACAACAAUCCCAGCAACAUCAGCAACAACAACAACAGCACCAUCAACAGCAGCAAUCACAGCAACAGCAGCAAAAAGCACAACAGAUUCAACAGCAGCAACAGUCACACCAACAACAGCAACAGAUGCCACGACAGAAUUCACAUUCACGUCAUCAGCAUCUUCAGCAGCAGAUUCAGCAGCAGCAGCACUUUGGGGCUAGACAGGACAAAAACUGUGAGGCCCAACAGGCAGGUCAGAGGGCACAUCAGAACAAUCACUUGGGUCAGCCAGAACGUCCAUCUGGACAGGAUCAUGGGGCUAUGCAAAGACUAAUGGGGUCUCGUUCAAUGGAACAGCAGCAAAUGACCUCUCAGGCUAGUAAUUCUGUUUCACGUUCUUCGGAUCUUGCUUGCACCUCAUCACGCCAGGAGCGCCACCGUCUCUCUAGCU
ensembl:lncRNA